rnacentral:rRNA from 1 species
AUUCCAGCUCCAAUAGCGUAUAUUUAAGUUGCUGCAGUUAAAAAGCUCGUAGUUGGAUUUCGGGUGGGAAUGGCCGGUCCGCCGUUUCGGUGUGCACUUGCUAGUCCCACCUUGCUGCCGGGGACGUGCUCUUGGGUUUCGGCUCGGGACACGGAGUCGGCGAGGUUACUUUGAGUAAAUUAGAGUGUUUAAAGCAGGCUUUCGCUGUGAAUACAUUAGCAUGGAAUAAUGAUCUAGGACUUCGGUUCUAUUUUGUUGGUUUCUAGUACUGAAGUAAUGAUUGAUAGGGAUAGUUGGGGGUGCUAGUAUUGGCCGGCCAGAGGUGAAAUUCUUGGAUUCGGUCAAGACUAACUUAUGCGAAAGCAUUCACCAAGGAUGUCUUCAUC